UAGGAACAGCUCCCGCGACCUCUGGGCCACGAGGACACGGGACCCCGCUUGAGUCAAAGGCGCAGACAACAGACAUGAGCUCCUUGCCUUUGAGGACUGGUUUCCUGCUUGACCGUGAGAGCUGCCACCACUGUGAAUCAGGCGCACCUACGUUCUUUCUCCGUGGGACUGGCUUCUGGGUAUUUGGCCAUACGAUCUGCUGGGAAAGGGGAGGAUCCAGUCCCUCCUGGUCCGAAUGAGCCAGACACCAACAUGGAGAAAGUGACAGGCCGGCUCCAGGCAUAAUCCCCACCUGCAGCAUUUCCAGCCCCAAAUCCUCUUCUUGCCUCAGUUAUCACCUCACUCGGUACC
rnacentral:lncRNA from 1 species